rnacentral:tRNA from 1 species
AAGAAUUUAGUUAAUAUAUAACGAUGAAUUGUCAUUUCAUAAUUACUUUUAGUAAUUCUUA